rnacentral:rRNA from 1 species
UACGUAGGGUGCGAGCGUUACUCGGAAUUACUGGGCGUAAAGCGUGCGCAGGCGGUUCGUUAAGUCAGAUGUGAAAGCCCCGAGCUCAACUUGGGAACUGCAUUUGAAACUGGCGGGCUGGAGUGUGGCAGAGGGGGGUGGAAUUCCACGUGUAGCAGUGAAAUGCGUAGAGAUGUGGAGGAACACCGAUGGCGAAGGCAGCCCCCUGGGCCAACACUGACGCUCAGGCACGAAAGCGUGGGGAGCAAACAGG